AUUGAACGCUGGCGGCAGGCUUAACACAUGCAAGUCGAGCGGAGAUGAGGUGCUUGCACCUUAUCUUAGCGGCGGACGGGUGAGUAAUGCUUAGGAAUCUGCCAUUUAGUGGGGGACAACAUUCCGAAAGGAAUGCUAAUACCGCAUACGUCCUACGGGAGAAAGCAGGGGAUCUUCGGACCUUGCGCUAAAUGAUGAGCCUAAGUCGGAUUAGCUAGUUGGUGGGGUAAAGGCCUACCAAGGCGACGAUCUGUAGCGGGUCUGAGAGGAUGAGCCGCCACGCUGGGACGGAGGCGCGGCCCAGACUCCUGCGGGAGGGAGCAGGGGGGGAUAUUGGACGGUGGGCGGAGGCCUGAUCCAGGCAUGCCGCGUGUGUGAAGAAGGCCGUUUGGUUGUAAAGCACUUUAAGCGAGGAGGAGGCUACUAGUACUAAUACUGCUGGAUAGUGGACGUUACUCGCAGAAUAAGCACCGGCUAACUCUGUGCCAGCAGCCGCGGUAACAC
rnacentral:rRNA from 1 species